CGAACAGUUGGAAACGACUGCUAAUACCGCAUACGAUCUGACCUCGGCAUCGAGGAUGGAUGAAAGGUGGCCUCUAUUUAUAAGCUAUCACUGAAGGAGGGGAUUGCGUCAGAUUAGCUAGUUGGAGGGGUAACGGCCCACCAAGGCGAUGAUCAGUAGCCGGUCUGAGAGGAUGAACGGCCACAUUGGAACUGAGACACGGUCCAGACUCCUACGGGAGGCAGCAUG
rnacentral:rRNA from 1 species